CUAAAAGUACCAGCAUAUCUUCAAACCAGAGUUUAAAUGAAAAAAGAAUAUGAAUCAAGGAAACCUCUAGUUAAUAGAGAGAGUGAGAAAAGAACAUACUGAAGGCCCAAUUCUUGCCAUGGAAGAGGCAAGGUCAUAUGACGAUGUGUGAUACAUUCUCCAACUUAUCCAAGAAAUAUGAUCAGUCGUGAACUUUAUGUUGAGUACUGUUCAAAUUGCUGUUGAACAGCAGGUAAAGAUGGAAAAGUUCUCUUCUCUCAUGUAGCUAACAUUUUAGUGGAGAAUGGCAGACAAAAUAAACACAAGAAAGUAAACAAGACAAU
rnacentral:lncRNA from 10 species